AUGCGUGUGUAGUAGUGCUGUACUGUAAGUAUGUGAUACCUGAUGUGUCUACACUGAUGUGUCGUAUCUACUGCUAUUUAUAUUAGUAAAACUGCAAAUAUAUAAACGAGAUAAUGCCAAGUACAUGUUGCAUUGUUAAUUGCAAUAAUACGAAUAAAAAAAGAUAUCACUUAUUUAAAUUUCCGAUAAAACGUCCAGAGAUUUAAAAAAAAUAGAUUUGUGCAAUCGGAGGAAAUUUUACACCAAAAAAACACCAUGUAAUCUGUAGUGCUCACUUUUUAC
rnacentral:lncRNA from 1 species